UCUAACGCGAGCUGCCGGGGUCUGCUAGACUCGCGGCGUGGACGUGACUGACGCUGAAUACGCCGAGCCGCAACUGUCAUCCGGUGCAAAGUGCGUCUAGCGCAAAACCACUUAUUCACUGGACAGUUGUGAGCAUUGGAUGUGGUUGGAUUAAUAAAGACAUUGAACUGAGAA